rnacentral:rRNA from 1 species
GAGUCUAGCAUGUGCGCGAGUCAUUGGGACACGCUAAGCCCAGAGGCGCAAUGAAAGUGAAGGUCCGCCUCGCGCGGACCGAGGGAGGAUGGGCCGUCCCGCGGGACGGCCCCGCACUCCCGGGGCGUCUCGUUCUCAUCGCGAGAAGAGGCGCACCCAGAGCGUACACGCUGGGACCCGAAAGAUGGUGAACUAUGCCUGGUCAGGACGAAGUCAGGGGAAACCCUGAUGGAGGUCCGUAGCGAUUCUGACGUGCAAAUCGAUCGUCGGAACUGGGUAUAGCGGCGAAAGACCAAUCGAACCAUCUAGUAGCUGGUUCCCUCCGAAGUUUCCCUCAGGAUAGCUGGCGCUCGCCGUGUGCGAGUCUCAUCCGGUAAAGCGAAUGAUUAGAGGCAUUGGGGUCGAAACGGCCUCAACCUAUUCUCAAACUUUAAAUGGGUGAGAUCUCCGGCUUGCUUGAAACGUGAAGCCGCGAGAUUUCGGAUCAGAGUGCCAAGUGGGCCACUUUUGGUAAGCAGAACUGGCGCUGUGGGAUGAACCAAACGCAGAGUUAAAGCGCCUAAAUCGACGCUUAUGGGAUACCAUGAAAGGCGUUGGUAACUUAAGACAGCAGGACGGUGGCCAUGGAAGUCGGA